GAUGAACGCUGGCGGCGUGCUUAACACAUGCAAGUCGAACGGAAAGGCCCAAGCUUGCUUGGGUACUCGAGUGGCGAACGGGUGAGUAACACGUGGGUGAUCUGCCCUGCACUUCGGGAUAAGCCUGGGAAACUGGGUCUAAUACCGGAUAGGACGAUGGUUUGGAUGCCAUUGUGGAAAGUUUUUUCGGUGUGGGAUGAGCUCGCGGCCUAUCAGCUUGUUGGUGGGGUAAUGGCCUACCAAGGCGUCGACGGGUAGCCGGCCUGAGAGGGUGUACGGCCACAUUGGGACUGAGAUACGGCCCAGACUCCUACGGGAGGCAGCAAUGGGGAAUAUUGCACAAUGGGCGCAAGCCUGAUGCAGCGACGCCGCGUGGGGGAUGACGGCCUUCGGGUUGUAAACUCCUUUCGCUAGGGACGAAGCGUUUUUGUGACGGUACCUGGAGAAGAAGCACCGUCUAACUACGUG
rnacentral:rRNA from 1 species